GAUGAAGAACGCAGUGAAAUGCGAUAAGUAAUGCGAAUUGCAGAAUUCCAGUGAGUCAUCGAAUCUUUGAACGCACAUUGCGCCCUUUGGUAUUCCAAAGGGCAUGCCUGUUCGAGCGUCAUUUGUACCCUCAAGCUUUGCUUGGUGUUGGGCGUCUUGUCUCUAGCUUUGCUGGAGACUCGCCUUAAAGUAAUUGGCAGCCGGCCUACUGGUUUCGGAGCGCAGCACAAGUCGCACUCUCUAUCAGCAAAGGUCUAGCAUCCAUUAAGCCUUUUUUUCAACUUUUGACCUCGGAUCAGGUAGGGAUACCCGCUGAACUUAAGCAUAUCAAUAAGCGGAGGA
rnacentral:misc_RNA from 1 species